rnacentral:rRNA from 1 species
AACGCGAAGAACCUUACCUGGGCUCGAACGGCUGGUCAACGGAGGUGGAAACAUCUUUACCCCGCAAGGGGGUCCAGUCGAGGUGCUGCAUGGCUGUCGUCAGCUCGUGUCGUGAGAUGUUGGGUUAAGUCCCGCAACGAGCGCAACCCUUGUCCUGUGUUGCCAUACCGAAAGGUGGAACUCGCAGGAGACCGCCAGCGAUAAGCUGGAGGAAGGUGGGGAUGACGUCAAGUCCUCAUGGCCUUUAUGUCCAGGGCUACACACGUGCUACAAUGGACGGUACAAAGGGUCGCUAACCCGCGAGGGGGAGCCAAUCCCAAAAAACCGUUCUCAGUUCGGAUUGCAGGCUGCAACCCGCCUGCAUGAAGCUGGAAUCGCUAGUAAUGGCAGAUCAGCACGCUGCCGUGAAUACGUUCCCGGGCCUUGUA